CACAGUUACAAAAGAUUUCCAUUUGCAGAAUUAAGUUCAAUUUUGGGCCUACGUGACAAGCCACAUUUUAAUGACAUCUUUCCCCAGGUAUGGCUCAAGCUUGUAUGUGGGCUCUAGAUUGGAAGAAUAAAUUCUGGGGACAUUUGAGACUUUUUUAGAUGCUGGUGAGAUAGUCAACCCUCGUGAAUGAAAAAGUUCUGGGGAGAGCCUCUGGACAUUGUUUUCAGGAAGAUUGAUUCUGAUCAUCUUAUCAGCCAAGGCAUAUGACCAGGGAGAGUGCUGGGAGCAGGCAGGCCGUUUCCACCACCGUGACACAGAAACAAACGGCAGAUUAUCUGCUGGGUACAAAAGGUCAGAGGACCACGGAGUAUCCUGAGUUGGAAGGGAUCCACAGGGAUCAUUGAGGUCUACAAAGAGGCUUCAAAUGACUUCUGUUGUUCCAUAGGAAGCUGAAGGGUGUUGUUUAUAGAGAAGCUGGAUAUCAAAAUUUUGCUCUGUGGUGCCUGUUGCCAUUGAGAUUGGAGGAAGUCUGGACAAUGUUCAGCCUUGCACGGGCAUGUGGCUGUGAAUUAAAGGAAACAACAAAUAUCUGUGAAUCAUUCCCCAUGCUCCAGGAUUUUUUCUAAAAUCCUCCAAGAAGAGCUGUAGAGAGUUUUAAAAAAAAAUGCCAGUAUAUUUCCAGCACUCUAAAUCAUUCUGAGACAUAAUAUGAAAACAACCAAUGGUAUAAUAUUCAAUGGGAGGGGUUGCUGUGGGGUACUGAUGAAGAUCAAAUAAGAUGAAAGAAAUCUCCUUCAUGUAUGAGAUACAGAACAGGUAGAAGUCAGAAAGUUUUGAUUUGUUUUGUUGAAUUGGGAGAUUAAAGAUCUAUUAAGAUCUGUUAUAGAGAAUAGAGAUCUGUAAAGAUCUAUAAAGAUCUAUUAAGAUCUUUGCCUGUUUAAAACAAACAAACAAAUAACAACAACAACAAAAAAAAACAAGAAAAAUGAAAAUGAUUGGCAUUACAGAGAGGUGAGAUACACAGGAUUCCUUUCUUUGCCUUGUCUUUUUUCUUCUUUUCCUUUUCCUUUUCCUUUUCCUUUUCCUUUUCCUUUUCCUUUUCCUUUUCCUUUUCCUUUUUUCUCUUCCUCUUCCUUUUCCUUUUCCUUUUUUCUCUUCCUCUUCCUCUUUCUUUCUCUUCAUCUUCCUCUUUUUCUUUUUUCUUUUCCUUUUUCCUCUUUUCUCUUCUUUUUCUUCUUCUUUUUUCCUUCUGUCUUCCACUUCUCUCUCUCUCUCUCUCUCGCUCUCUGUCUCUCUCUCUCUCUCUCUUUUUUUUUUUUUU
ensembl:lncRNA